rnacentral:rRNA from 1 species
UAGGGAAUCUUCGGCAAUGGACGAAAGUCUGACCGAGCAACGCCGCGUGAGUGAAGAAGGUUUUCGGAUCGUAAAACUCUGUUGGUAGAGAAGAACGUUGGUGAGAGUGGAAAGCUCAUCAAGUGACGGUAACUACCCAGAAAGGGACGGCUAACUACGUGCC